GGGAGACUUGAGUGCAGGAGAGGAGAGUGGAAUUCCUAGUGUAGCGGUGAAAUGCGUAGAUAUUAGGAGGAACACCAGUUGCGAAGGCGGCUCGCUGGACUGUAACUGACGCUGAGGCACGAAAGCGGGGGGAGCAAACAGGAUUAGAUACCCUGGUAGUCCACGCUGUAAACGAUGAGUACUAGGUGUCGGGGGUUACCCCCCUCGGUGCCGCAGCUAAC
rnacentral:rRNA from 1 species